rnacentral:RNase_P_RNA from 1 species
GUAUUCAGGUAAUCGAGCGAAUAAUUAACUUAUUCGUUAGGAAAGUCCUUGCUAGCACAGGCUGAGAUGUUUGUAGUGUUCAUGCCUAUAUAUAAUCCAUAAAAUAGGACACUCUGGGAGAGUGAUGGCGGAAGCGACACCUGUAAAAUGGUUAGUUUCCCUAAGGUGCCACAGUGACGAACUUUUUGGAAACAAAAAGAGUGAAACGGGUAAACCCCAUGAGCUAGAAACCCAAAUUUUGGUAGGGGAACCUUAUAUUUGG